UCAAUUUCGUGUGGCUAAACGCCACUCGUCCCUCUAAGAAGUGUACGCCGUCGGCAAUAGAACCACCGAGGCGAACUAUUUAAUAGGCUAGAGUCUCGUUCGUUAU
rnacentral:rRNA from 1 species